UCCGGGUCCCCGAGGCCCCGCCCCCUCUGGCACGCCCCGCCCCCGCCCGGUCAGAGGCCUACGGCCUUGCUGAGACAGCGGGGUGGGAACCGUGGUCAAACCCCGGCUGACUGGCCCGCGGUCCCUGCAGCCUCCCUCGUCCACGUGGCGCCGGAAGCGCCCACCGCUGGCGCAGGCGCGAGCUCCGCCCAGGUGCCAGCCUGCAAAGCAUGCUUAAAAGUUAGAUGACUGUACAGAGUAUAUUUAGGCCCACCAUGCGCGGGCCAGACUGUGCUCAGAUGGACACAAUCCAAGGUGCUCAUACUGAAUUCAUAGCACAGCCCGAGGGAGCAAAGGGAAAAUGAGCCUGGAAAGGGGACAAUGCCGAGUGCGCUGAGCCCUGAGGACACAGGAGGUAUGAGAAGAUGCAAGAAAUUGGACUCAGAAAAUCUUCUCCUGAAAAUAUCUAACUACCUGAAGACCUGUUCUGCCAGUUUUUCCCAGAGUACAGAGCACUUCAUUCCUGAUCUCCACCCUGACCUCCUUUCAGGUCUUGGAACUUGAGACUGCACUGCUGUGAAGAAGCUCCUGGAGUGUGAGAGACGCCACAUGAAGGAGAACCCAGGCCUCCCAGCCAAAAGCCAGCACCAGCUUCCAGGUACCUGACUGAGACCACCUCGGACUUCCCAGCCCCACAAGAGCUGUCAGGUGACUGCCAUCACGUAAGUGGUUCCAGGAAAGACCAGCGGAAGAACCACCCAGAUUGCCAGUCCACCGAAUCAAGAGAAACAAGAAAUCAUUGUUUUUACCACUAAGUUUUGGGGUGGAUUUUUACAAAGCAACAGAUAAGAUAGCAGAUGGUGAUCUACAGGGAAUUGUGAAAUCGAUUUUCUGGGGGAGGAAAACAGUAUAAAAAGUAUAUAAGACGGCAGAAUAGAAUAUAUGAGUUCAUUUCAUAUAGAAUCGUUGCAAUUAUCUGUUGCUGUGUAAUAAGGCACUCCAAAAGUUCAUGGUGAAAAGCCACCACCAUUUUAUGCUGAAACUUCAUAUGCUGGACCAGGAGUUUGGCAAGUGCAGGGGAUGUGGUUCAUCUUUGUUUUCAAUGGAGCCUCGGCUGUGAUAGAUCAAAUUUGGGGCUGUGGCUGGAUGAACUGAUUAGGGCCGUAUGUCUGGGGCCUUGACUCUGUCUGCUGGGUGCGUUCCUCGUUUCUUCUCCCCAUCAUGUCUUCAGGAACAGGAACGUCCAACUUGGCUUCUUCACUUCCAGUAGGCUGGCAGGAGCCGCGAGGAUCUCGCUCUGCACAGCUCUCCAUGGGGCCAGCUUGGGCUUCCUUACAGCAUGGUGGGCCUGGGUAGCUGGACUUCUUACUCGGUGGCUGGUUUCUGCAAGGCUUCUGCUGACCUCGCUUCACAGAUCCGUGAACAUCACACCUGCUACAUUCUGUUGGUCAACCAGAUGUAAUUAAGGAUCUUGAGAUGAGAUCGCCUUGGAUUACCUGGGUGGGCCAAUGAGAGGUGUUCUUAUAAGAGACAGAAGAUGAGACGCUCAGAGGAGAGGCCACGUGAAGACAGAGCAGACUGGAAGGAUGCGGCCACGGCCACGGAAGCCAGCAACCACCGAACACUGGAAGAGAGAAUGGACCCUCCCCUCGAGCCUCCGCAAGGACCUGGCCCACCUCCUCUCCCACUGCACCUGCACGCUGGGCGUAGGGCUGCACACAGUGCUGGUCUCAGACAGCAGUACUUGAAAAGGUGCCCCGCUGAGUCCAGGACAUGAAACAGCAAAGGCACCGGCUACCCAUUCUCACCAAGGGAUUAAGCCAAGGAAAUGUAAGAAACAAAAGGAUCUGCGAUAUUCAGAAAUGUAUUGAGGACUUCCUUGGUGGCACAGCGGUUAAGAAUCUGCCUGCCAGUGCAGGGGACACGGGUUCGAGCCCUGGUCCAGGAAGAUCCCACAUGCUGCGGAGCAACUAAGCCCGUGGGCCACAACUACUGAGCCUGCGCUACAGAGCCUGUGAGCCACAACUACUGAGCCCUCGUGCCACAACUACGGAAGCCCACGCGCCUAGAGCCCGUGCUCCGCAACAAGAGAAGCCACCGCAAUGAGAAGCCCGCGCACCGCAACGAAGAGUAGCCCCCACUCGCCGCAACUAGAGAAAGCCCGCACGCAGCAACGAAGAUCCAACGCAGCCAAAAAUAAAAGUAAACAAACAAAUUUAUAGAAAUGUACCGAAUGACACGUGGGUAGUAACAACAGCAGCUGUGGUAGCACUUGGAUAUGCACCUACUCAUCUAUCUGGCAAGAACACAGGAAAGACGGACUCUUCCGGAUACCCCGGAAACCCAUCUUGGGUGAGGAGAGGACUUAGCUCGUAAAAGGCAAAGAACAAAAACUAAAACCACAGUGACCUCAAACACGCGUGACAUGAAACUUAGAUCCUUAAGGGUAGGAUGUGUAGCCUAACAAAGAGUUUCUAAUGGUGGGAAGAGUCAAGACCCUCUUUAACGUGACCACACCUGGACUGCGGACUGACUUCCCUCCCAUCCCCGUGAGGGGCUAAAGCCCUGGGCUCUGGCUGUGAAGGGAGCAGACCUAAGAAGCGUGGCUAACGAGUGUUCUAAGAGAAGCAAGACUACAGAAACGUCUCCUUACUGCUUCCUUUGGGUAUUUCUUCAUCGACACUUGUUUUUAAGGCCUAAGUGGAAUCCAUGAGACAAGUUGUCAUAAAACACCUGCAGCUUAUGAAUCAGGCAUGACUCCGUUUCCAGAAUCUUUCAGAUACUCACGGCUCGCUGGGCUUUGUUCAGGCGAAAAUGGAGUGUGAGAUGGGAAAAGCACUCUGUGGUUUUCAAUCUCACACUUAAGUUAACCCUGAGAACUAGGAAAUGCAGAAAAUAAGGCCGCUCCUAAGUUAAACUGGAAGACGAGCAAAGCACAGGUUCUAAAGAGGGAAACACACCAUGACCUGACAGCUAUGUUCACAGAAACAAGCCGGAACGCAUUCAUCCACAUAAACAACACAUGUGCCAUUCAGAAAGGGAGCCCGUCCGCCCUGGAGGGACAGUCGGGACAGGAAUGAAACCGAGGCCAUGGUCAGCAGUGCCCACCCAACAGGGCCCAAGUAGGGUGGUGGCAGUCACCAGGCUUGCGUCCUCAGACCUGAUGGCAGAAACACCUUCGUGGUGGUGAGGGCGGGAAACGUCACCUAGUGAGCUAAGGCGUCCGUGCUCUCGUCCUAGUGCCGCCUGCAGUGGCCCUUCGGGAGCAGCCACCUGCACCCACCCUGCCACCCACUAGUGCCCGGCUGUCCCCCUGGGGAUCCACUUUCAGCCCUCCAGCUUGGGUGUUCCCACCCCUCUGCCACACUGAACCUGGAUGUGACUCAGGACUUGGCUUGAGCUAUCACAGAGGCCAUGAAUCUGGAAGGACACAGCCCUGGGACCCUUGUGUGGCCACGUGGGAAGAGCAGGACACCAAGCCUGCCCAGAGGCGGCGGAACUGAGGAACGCGCGCGCGCGCACCGCCACCAGCACGAGUGCCUCUGCUUCGCCACUGGCUCCAGCUCUGGCCUCACCUCAGCUUGGAACAGAUCCCAGCUGCUGCUGCCCCACCAGUGGCUCCUAAAAACGCACCUCCUGCAAGAGCUGCUGUUCCGGCUGCCCUGAGCGUGCCCAGGGCUGUGGCGGCACAGGGGCAUCGGACAGGUGUGGCUGCCGUGCCUGAUGCGGGGGGAGCCUGAUGCCGGGGGGAGAGCCUGCUCCCAGAUGUACCCAGAGCUGUGAUUACGAUUCUGCGUUAAAAAAUCUUUUUUCAUACUUCCCUAACUCCCUUGCUACAUUCCUGUUUCUAUGGAAUAUGUGAAUAAAAUUUGCUGACUAAAAAAAAAAAUUAAAAAGCACCCACACCCACACACCUGCACGCGAGCACACGCACAGCCCCGGGUGUCCUCCUUCGGGUCCAGGUCUGGGUUGCCCUCGGCCGCCCCAUCCCUGGACUCCACAGGUGAGCCUACACAGCGCCACGCUGUUGCCGACAAUCGGCCCGGUGCCUGUGGCAGCAGAGGCUUCCAGGGCCCGGCUCCCCGUAGGUACUGAUGAGAGGGCGCCUCUGGCCUCCAGAACCGAGGGCACGAACACCUGGUCCCCCUCUGGAGGACACCUGACCCUACACUCCCAUCGUCCAGCCUUUUCAGUCUGUCCGUCCAUUCCUACAACAGAAUUUCCAUAUGACGACACCGGCUCCAAUCAGUCGGCCUGGAGCGGGAGACGCAACAGCUGCGGUCAGUUCUCAGCAGGAGCACAGCUUGCCCUCGUACUCUGUAUUGGCAGUGGAAAAUUCUGCUUCAGUACUUUAUUGAAAGAAAGCAAUAAAUAAUACUGUGAUAAAAAUAGUUCAAAAGUAGACUGUACAUACUUUGUUACAUAAUCGGGAAGUUCACAAAAGAUGAAUAGAAAAACAGAACGGUAACAGCGAACUGUACAAGUAAAUUAAAGGCAGAGCCCGAAUGUAAAAAGCCACGCCAUCUCUGUCCGCCGGUACAGCAGCUGCGUAAUAACUAAUGCGCCAUGAUCUGAACACGUCUCCUGCUGGCUUUUUAACAUGCCAUUAAAAAGUAGAAGUUACAUUUGCUACUUAUGCAAUCCAAAAUGGCUAUAUCGUCAAAAUCUAAAAAUGUACGGCUAGGUCCAUUCUUUAAACAUGUUUACAGACAAAUGUAAAAGGAUGAUUUACAUCAGAAAAAUAAGGCCUUGAUUAGAGCCGCACUACAUUAUUCUCAGCAUCUCAGUGCCUUCACCUUCCGCGUGCGCCAGUGUCUCCUCAGCGAGUGCAGUGCUUCGUGAUUGGUCCUCUAAGAGUCGGCGCCCUUGACCCGGCUUCCCAGGAGGGGGGCGGGGAGGGGGGCGGGGAAGGGGGCGGGCGCGGCGGGCCGCGGGGGCCCA